CGGUUCUGAGCGUUGUGGUUCUGAACGCUGCGGUUCCGGGCCGCGCGGUUUUGGGCGCUGUGGUUCCGGGCCGUGCGGUUCCGG
rnacentral:tRNA from 1 species